rnacentral:misc_RNA from 1 species
CUUGUAUCUUCUUUAUUUAAUGCAAUAUGUGGCACUGAAGGCAUAAUUUUUGCAUCCACCAGUUCUUAUUUGUUUAGUAUAAGUUGGUGCUCGAAAACUUGAAACAUGAUUGAGGAGCAACGAUAAUGAAUAUCUAUUCGCUACAAGUUGAAAGGCAAAAUGGAAUACAGAUGGCUGAAAGCGACAGCCAAGCUUUGGACAUUCUCCUCUCGACAUAAACUGGCUUUCUUAGUUCUAGGUCUGUAAUAAAAACCGAUAUUCUACAAGUAAAGAUAUAGCCCUUCCCAUAUAAAGAGAAUGUGGAAUUGGGGCUUCUUUUUUUUUUUAAGAUGCAUUCUUAAGGAGGUAUCCCAGGCCUUUACACAUUUUGCUCAGUCCAGACUAACAGCUACCUCCUACUACAUCGUAUCUCACAAAUCCCAUCAGUUCUGGGCCUUCCAGUCUAGGGUUAUUUCCAAAACUGCAUCCAAACAAACAAGAAUCAUAACCCACAAAUGAAAGCCAGUUAAAAGAUGGUAUCAAGAAAGAAAAUUGAAGCUUUUUUAGUACUGAUGGAUCGAUGUUUAGAUGCCAAAUUCUGGCUAAUUAGUCACCUUUCCUCUAAGAACUUAGAGAAGGAGCCAGAAGUAGGGAUUGUGCCACACAAAUCAUUGUCCGAUACGUCACUGCAAAAACAGAUCGAUGAAUUACAAAAAAUAAGAGCAAAGAAUUUCGUAGAAACAAGGUAAUUUGAGGAUUUAUAAGAUGACUUACAGAAUCUUGAGGUUUCCCAGUUUGGUUAGUUCCCUUGGUAUCCUUCCGGUUAGUCUGUUAUCGUUCAGUCUCCUGCAUGAACAUUACGUGACCCAUCAGGCAAAAACAGACCCAAAGUAUACGUUUAAAGACGUGAACGAACUGACAAUAGUGUCCAUCAAAUGAGUAUAUAUCCAAUGGCCAACAGUUGAAACGAGUGAGAGAAGAAUGCUUACAGGAAUUUGAGAUUGGAAAGGUUCGAGAGUGUAGCAGGGAUAGACCCAGUUAGAUUAUUGUGGUAAAGGUCCAAGCUCACCAGGCUUUUUAGGUUUCCAAGCUCCUUUGGUACAGGACCCACCAGCUUAUUCAUGUACAGUUCCAGAUACUGAAGACGCUCAAGUUUCCCCAGCUCAGGUACUAGAUUGCCAGACAGCUUUGCAUUCCCAAGGUCUAGACGGGUAACGCGGUUAUCGUUGUCACAGGUGACGUGAAACCAAGUACAUGGAUCUACCAAGGUCGGAUCCCAGCUUUGCAGAACUAGUCCUGGAUCCUUCACUGCUCUUCUCAAUGCAUACAGAGCAUCCCCUUCUAUGUUUGCAUUUGUAGGCGCUACAAUGAUUGAUAGAAGAAGAAGAAGAAGAAGUUGAAACAUAGCACAACUCGCCAUUGUAGAACUUCAAAAGAUGUUUUUGAAGGCCUUGAUCGAACAGUCAAGAUGCUUAUGGUCUUUUUAUAUCUUGGAGUUCGUUUAAAGAACAGAAGCAAUA